rnacentral:snRNA from 1 species
AACCUAGUGCACGGGCUUUAUGUGUAUCAGUGAGGAUUCGUCCGAGAUCACAUUUUUGCUAGUUGAAAACUAUAACUAUGACCGCUCCUCUCGGUUUUCGGACUGGGAGGGAAUCUUUGGAACAUGACUUUCUCGAGAGAGAAUAAACACUUUUCGCGUUUUUCAU